rfam:Macaca mulatta chromosome 3, whole genome shotgun sequence.
AUCACCUAGGGACUUGUUAAAAUACAGAUUCUCAUACAGUAGGUUUCGGGUGGGGCCUGAGAUUCUGCAUUUUUAACAAGCUCCUAGUGAUGUCAA